GAUUGUAGUCUGNAACCCGACUACAUGAAGCUGGAAUCGCUAGUAAUCGCGGAUCAGAAUGCCGCGGUGAAUACGUUCCCGGGUCUUGUACACACCGCCCGUCACACCAUGGGAGUCGGAAAUGCCCGAAGUCUGUGACCCCAACCUACGGGAGGGAGCAGCCGAAGGCAGGUCGGAUGACUGGGGUGAAGUCGUAACAAGGUAGC
rnacentral:rRNA from 1 species